UGGGGAAUUUUGGACAAUGGGGGCAACCCUGAUCCAGCAAUGCCGCGUGUGUGAAGAAGGCCUUCGGGUUGUAAAGCACUUUUGUCCGGGAAGAAAUCGCACCUGAUAAUACCGGGUGUGGAUGACGGUACCGGAAGAAUAAGGACCGGCUAACUACGUGCCAGCAGCCGCGGUAAUACGUAGGGUCCAAGCGUUACUCGGAAUUACUGGGCGUAAAGCGUGCGCAGGCGGUUGUGCAAGACCGAUGUGAAAUCCCCGGGACUAACCUGGGAAUUGCAUUGGGGAAUGCACGGCUUGAGGGUGGCAGAGGGGGGUAGAAUUCCACGUGUAGCAGUGAAAUGCGUAGAGAUGUGGAGGAAUACCGAUGGCGAAGGCAGCCCCCUGGGAUAACACUGACGCGCAAGCACGGAAGCGUGGGGAGCAAACAGG
rnacentral:rRNA from 1 species